rnacentral:rRNA from 1 species
UUAGGGAAUUUUGACAAUGGGCGCAAGCCUGAUCGAGUGACGCCGCGUGCGGGACGAAGCCUUUCGGGGUGUAAACCGCUUUUCUCUGGGGCGAGGCAGGACGGUACCAGAGGAAGAAGCAUCGGCUAACUACGUGCCAGCAGCCGCGGUAAUACGUAGGAUGCAAGCGUUGUCCGGAAUUACUGGGCGUAAAGCGCGCGUAGGCGGCUUCAUAGGUGGGUUGUGAAAGCUCCCGGCUUACCUGGGAGAGGGCAGUCCAAACGGUGAAGCUAGAGGGCGGUAGGGGUUGGCGGAAUGCCUGGAGUAGCGGUGAAAUGCGUUGAGAUCAGGCAGAACACCAGUGGCGAAGGCGGCCGACUGGGCCGCACCUGACGCUGAGGCGCGAAAGCUAGGGGAGCGAACGGAAUUAGAUACCCCCGUAGUCC